AGCAGCAGCCGCGGUAACACGGAGGGCGCGAGCGUUACCCGGAUUUACUGGGCGUAAAGGGCGUGUAGGCGGCCUGGGGCGUCCCAUGUGAAAGGCCACGGCUCAACCGUGGAGGAGCGUGGGAUACGCUCAGGCUAGAGGGUGGGAGAGGGUGGUAGAAUUCCCGGAGUAGCGGUGAAAUGCGCAGAUACCGGGAGGAACGCCGAUGGCGAAGGCAGCCACCUGGUCCACUUCUGACGCUGAGGCGCGAAAGCGUGGGGAGCAAACCGGAUUAGAUACCCCAGUAGUCCCUGUCUCUUAUAC
rnacentral:rRNA from 1 species